AAUAAAUUCAACCAUAGGUCAAAAGGUAGAGCAAGGAACCAGUUGACUGGGAGGGAACAUAGGAAAAAAAAACAUAGAGAGUAAGAGAAAUGAUAGAGAGACUACAGGAAGUAGAAAGGAGAGACAAUCAGUUUGUAGGUUUAUGGAAUUGUGCUUAAGGACUUUCUUCCAAUAUUUCCUGCAGAUACUUUUCACGCUGCAGCACUGGAGCAAAGGACACUAUCCUUUUUAUCACUGAAGAUGCAUUGAUGUGGGAUGUUGAAACAGGGAACUUAGACAUAUUAGCCUCUUGCUGGAAACUUCAUCUGCAAGGUGGAACUAUUACUCUCAGACUCAUUGACUAAGUAAGAACAUUCACUGAGAUGUAUUAUUACUAUGUCUGGAGCACAGGGAGUGGGUAAGAAUAAGCUACACUUUUACGCUGUCCCAACAGAAGGGGGUCUCAAAGGUGGGUUGUCAAUUGUCCUCCUGGUUUUCUGUUUGGGGAUUUUUAAUUUUAUUUUUAUUUUUUUUAUCAUAGGGGUAAGCAACUGUGAUCUGCAAUUCAGUGGUAUUUUAGAACCAUUAUGUAGUUGUCAUUAAGCAUUAAGCUAAAUUCUGGGUGGGACUCUAGAUGCAGGAGAGAGGAGUGUCUAAGUUACUCUUGGCAUCAAUAAGUUCCCAUGAAGAUCCACCAGAGAAGUAGAAUUUCUAAAUAAAGGUUAAUGGAGACUGUUGUAGGGUAUCCACCAGAAAACAGUGCCUGCUAUAGACUUAAGCCAAUAUAGAUCUUUAUUAGCUGGCUGGAGAGCACACCGGAUAUUCAGGAUCCCAGUAUACCAUCAGGCCUUUAUGUGCACACACACACACACACACACACACACACACACACACACACACACACACACAAAACAGAUCCUAGGUUGACAUACUUCUGUUAACAAGCACAGUUUGUCAGAAGCAGAACUAUGAAAGUAAAAAAAAAAAGACAAACAAACCUCCCCCCCUCAAAUACCAAAAAACAAAAACUCCUGCAAGGUUAGUACAUUUAAGGACCUUCCCAUAACUAUGGACCUUGAUGGAUUAGGAAUUUGUUUUCAUUUUGGCAGGUGGUGCCACCUAUAUCUAUGUGCUGAGUUCAAUGGCCU
ensembl:lncRNA